CCAAGCAUACAAAGAACAGAUCCAGCCCAGCCUAAGUACAGAGCAUCUCCUAGUUCAUACCUGAAACAUGAGAGAUUUUAUGGAAACAACAUGUAAUAGGAUCACAAAGCCAUUAUUUUAGACUGAGCCAUAAAUUACAGUCAUGAGUGAUCCAUUGCAACUCUACUGCCAGCUUCUUUCAGGAACGAUACGUCUGUGGUGCCCAGCAAUACAAAUGGAAAACAAAAUAAAUGUGGAUACUCACGUUUAUGGUAUGUUUCUAACGCAUUUCAUCUACCUUCCUGCUAGACAGUGGUGUCAGCACUUUGUGAAGACGAGUUUGAUCAAACAAGUGAGGGGUUUGUAC